UCGGAAGUAGUUUGUGCAUGCACUAAUAGAGGAGUCGGGCUUGUGGAUAUUUACGUUCAGCGGGAGCCGCCCUUCAUUCACCACAUGGUUAAAAGCUGAGCGCGUUCGCGCCACUUUCGCAAUCUUACUACGGUUUUGUAACGCGACCCACAGCGCGUGCUCUCGGAUGCGGCGCUAGAAGUUUAUUGUGUAGUUUCGACGGUUUGCCCGGAGCGUGGACAGUAAACGAAAGCCCAUCGACCUCCUCCAGUCCCCUUACUCCAGGCUCCUCAUUAGAGGCAUGAACCGCUGCGCUCGUCUUCUCCGUGUCAGUGUAGUGUCAAAGUGCUUACAGUGCAGGUAGUUCUGUCAAAUCUACUGCAGUGGAGGCACUUCAAGCUCUACUUUGACGUGUACACACACAAGUCACGACGUGAACUACUGCUUGUGCUAAGGUGCAUUUAGUGCAGAUAGUAAAUAGACUAGCACCUACUGCCCUAAGUGCCCCUUCUGGCAUAAGGGGCUGGCAAAACCCGCUGUUCCCAAUCUUUUAUUUCAUGCAGUUCUCUGCUAGUUUUGCAUAGUUGCACUACAAGAAAUAUGGAGUUGUGCAAAUCUAUGCAAAACUGAUGGUGGCCUGCUUCCCCAUCCUUCCCUGUGCUUUGACUUCUUGAGCAUCUCUGCUUGAGCGUGUGUGUGUGUGCGUGUUUCUUUCUUCUCAGGUUAACCUCUGUUUGUCGUGGCUCUGCGCUGUGACUCUCUCACCCUGGUUCCAGCAGUAUUAAAGUGCUUAUAGUGCAGGUAGUUUAUUAAAAUGUGUAUCUACUGCAAUGUGAGCACUUCAAGUACUUCUAGACUCGAGCGUCGUGAAGAGAGCUUGACGGUCAUGCUGUCUUGUGUGCACGGUUCUGGUUAGUUUUGCUGGUUUGCAGUCAGCGUUCGUAUUGUUGCUGUGCAAAUCCAUGCAAAACUGAUCGUAACGGUGAGGAGUCUCCGCUUCAGUCUCUGUCCGGCAUCCCUGUCUUUGCAGGUUGGGAUCAGCCGCAAUGCUCUGCGCUGGAAGUAUUGCACUUGUCCCGGCCUGUGAAGAGCAUGGGGAACUGUUCAGCUGCUUUUGUGUUCAUUAAUACAUUUUGAUGAUUUUUUUUUUUUUUUCAUUUGUUUGUUGGAGUUUGGUCAUCUCAAAUGUUUUAAAUGUGCUUUUGCUGCCUGUUUUAAUAAUGCAUCUUUUUUUUUCUUUUUUUUUUUUUUAUAUAUAUAGUUUUGAUAACCUAUUCCAACGUAAAGACUUUCAAAAGCAUUUUUUUUUAUUGGGUGCCUUGCAGAUUUCUGUCAAUCUUGCAGAUGACUGUAUGAACACUAGAUGGCAAUGUUGUAUCUGGAAUCCUCUAGAACUGCUCCUGUUCAAUGUUUUAGAGCUUGUGUGUUUGCUUAUUUGUAAAUGCAUGCUUUUAUUAAAGAGUUUAAAGCCA